rnacentral:lncRNA from 1 species
AAAGCUUAUGCAAAUUUCUUUCUACCUUUCCAGAUAAUCUUCUGCUACUUUUAUAAGUUUUUCAGGAAAUGAUUCUAGUUGGGAAAUACGGUUAAUGAAUAUUUUAUCAAGAUAACCAAACUCAAAUAGUAAGGCAGGGGUAACUUCUACCACAUUAUGCUUUUUCUGAUGCUCAUAACUAAAAUGCCAUGAUUUAAAGUCUCUCAUGUUAAUCCUGGUCACAGCUAUGCUAACCUCUGGUUUACAAAUACAAUUUUCUGUACUAUCACAAAGACAUGGUGGAUACAUCUUUGUAAUAAUAUUCAUCCCUGGUUUUGGAUCAAAGAUGGACUCAUACAAAGCACAUUGUAAUUGUAAUUGCAAUUCCUUCAUGGACUGUGAUGC